AACGCGAAAACCUAACCUACCCUUGACAUGUCUGAACCUUGUGAGAGGCGAGGGUGCCUUCGGGAGCCAGAACACAGGUGUGCAUGGCGUCGUCAGCUCGUGUCGUGAGAUGUUGGGUUAAGUCCCGCAACGAGCGCAACCCUUGUCACUAGUUGCCAUCAUUUGGUUGGGCACUCUAGUGAGACUGCCGGUGACAAACCGGAGGAAGGUGGGGAUGACGUCAAGUCCUCAUGGCCCUUAUGGGUAGGGCUUCACACGUCAUACAAUGGUCGGUACAGAGGGUUGCCAAGCCGCGAGGUGGAGCCAAUCCCUUAAAGCCGAUCGUAGUCCGGAUCGUAGUCUGCAACUCGACUACGUGAAGUCGGAAUCGCUAGUAAUCGCAGAUCAGCAUACUGCGGUGAAUACGUUCCCGGGUCUUGUACACACCGCCCGUCACACCAUGGGAGUGGGUUUCACCAGAAGUAGGUAGCUUAACCUUCGGGAGGGCGCUUACCACGGUGAGAUUCAUGACUGGGGUGAAGUCGUAACAAGGUAACACGUAA
rnacentral:rRNA from 1 species